GCGGUGGAGCUUGAGAGUUGUCGUAACACAGACCUUGUUUUUGAUGUUCAACAAACAGUGUGCGUCUAUAAAUCUUGAUUCAGCACCCUCCCAGGGAUUACGUCACAGGCUGCAGAGUGCCUCAAUGCCGGUCAGUUUCAGGGCCCGAGCAAAACAGGACACGUCUUGGGAAAACAGGACGUUUGGUCACCCUCUACUAAACACCUGCAACAUACCGCAGUCUCUCCUGAAAUGCCACAGAUUGCUCAUGACGCCUCCUUCUCCAUGAACUCAUAACCAGACCCCCUUUGGGUUUAAUUCCUUCUAGUCUCUCCGUGUCCUGGGUCUUCCACGAGGCCUCCUACCGCUCAGACGUGCCCUGAACACCUCCUGAAAGAGUGUCCUUUCGGUCACUACCCAAAGCUCGUGACCGUAGCCUUCCCUCACUCGUGAGUGAACAAUACCCAGAGGUAACACCUCCACUCAGAACAGGAUUUCAUCCACGACCCGGAGGUGGUUUCUGGGUGAGAUCCAUGGACUCAGCCAUGGAGGUCCUGAUUCUCAACCCAGCUGUUUCACACUCGGCUGCAAACCAACUCAGUGAGACUUGAAGAUCAGGGCCCUGAUGAAGCCAGAAGGACCACAUCAUCUUCAAAAAGCAGAGACCCAAUCCUGCAGUCACCAAACCAGAUCCCCUCAACACCUUGGCUGCUCCUAGAAAAUGUGUCCAUAUAAAUUAUGAACAGAAUCGGUGACAAAGGGCAGACCUGGAGCCCUGGCAGAGUCCAACCCUCACUGGAAAUGAGUGCGACAUAUUGCCGGCAAUGUGGUCUAAGCUCUGACAACGGUCAUACAACGAGCGAACUGCCUGAAUUAGGUGGUCCACACUCACAGAGUAUUCCCGAUAGGAUUCCUAAAGGAACACCGUCAAAUGCCUUCUCCAAGUCCACAAAACACAUGUGGAUUGGUUGGGCAAGCUCCCAUGCACCUUCAAGGACUCUGUCGAGAGUGUAGUGUUGGUCUACAGUUCCACGACCAGGACGAAAACUACACUGCUUUUCCUGAAACUGGGAUUGAACUAUCCAGCGAAUCCUGCUCUCCAGAACCCCUGAAUAGACCUUACCAGGAAGGCUGAGGAGUGUGAUCCCAUGAUAGCUGGAAUGUACUCUCGUUAUUAAAUAGGAGGACCGCCAACCCAGUCUGCCAAUCCAAAGGAACUGUUCCCGACAUCCAUGCAAUGCUGCAGGGUUGUGUCAGUUCCAGAGAUAGGAGAGGCCACCAUGGAGUCCGCAGGAGGUCUUCAAAGUAUUCCUUCCACCGGUCCACAACAUCUCGUAUUGAGGUCAGCAGCACACCAUCUCCACCAUACACGGUGUUGACAGCGUACUGCUGCUCCAUCCUGAGACAGCGGAUGGUGGUCCAGAAUCUUUUUGAAACCGUCCAUAAGUUGUUCUCCAUUGCUUCCCCGAACUCCUCCUCCUACGAGUUUUUGUCUCGGCGGCCGCCAAAAUCAGAAACCACUUGGUCUUCUGGUACCUGUAAGCUGUCUCUGGAGUUCUAAUGAGCAAAAAGUCCCGCUAGGACUCUUUCUUCAGUUGACGGCAUCUGUCACAGCUGUUCACCAACGGCUUCUGGGAUUACCACCACAACAGGCACAUUCGGACUCAAGUGUCCACUGCCUUCCUUGGAACAUGGUCGAAGCUCACCUGAGGUGAGUUGAAACGCCUGACAGGGGACUUUGCCAGAUGUUCUCAGCAGACCCCGCACAGAAGUCUCAUAACAAAGCACCGCUCUGAUUCAGAUCGGGUGGGGACUCCCUCCAAAUCACGCCUCUCCUGGUCUCACUGUUGCUGCCAACGUGAGCAAAGAACCCCAGCAAAACAAGGGAAUCCCCCAACGGAGCACUCGCCAGUACUCCCGCUAGGACAGGGGUAGGGAACCUAUGGCUUGCGAGCCAGGUGUAACACAAUAAAAUUUUAUUUUUUCCCACUGACAUUUUAAAAUAAAACAUUACAGAAAUCACACUGUUAAAAUUCAUUUAUUAUAAUUUUUCCUGAUGACAUUUUAAA